rnacentral:misc_RNA from 1 species
UCUCCGUAGGUGAACCUGCGGAGGGAUCAUUACUGAGUGAGGGUUUAACCGCCCGACCUCCAACCCUUUGUGAAUCGUACUCGUUGCUUCGGGGGCGACCCUGCCGUUCCGGCACCGGCGCCCCCGGAGGACUUCCAACCCUGCAUCAUUGCGUCGGAGUAUUUUUUGUAAAUCUAAACAAAACUUUCAACAACGGAUCUCUUGGUUCUGGCAUCGAUGAAGAACGCAGC